UACGUAGGGGGCAAGCGUUUGUCCGGAUUUACUGGGCGUAAAGAGCGCGUAGGCGGAAGCUUAAGCGGUACCUGAAAGCCCCCGCUCAACCGGGGAAGGUGGCGCCGAACUGGGCUUCUUGAGGGCGAUAGAGGAAAGUGGAAUUCCGGGUGUAGCGGUGAAAUGCGUAGAUAUCCGGAGGAACACCAGUGGCGCAGGCGGCUUCUUGGGUCGGACCC
rnacentral:rRNA from 1 species